CACGACUGAAGUGACUUAGCAGCAGAUUCUCAGAAAUUUUUCACAAUAAAUUCCUAAAGCAUACCUGUUUCUUUCCAAACAUGCAAAAUAUUCAGAAUCCCAUGGGUGGUGAUGGAGAUAUACCUUGUUUUUAAAAUUAAUUCUGGGGACUAGAAAUAAAAAUACACUUUCCAGUGUGACAGGGAUGAUUUUGUGGAGACUGUGAUCAGUGAAAAAUGACUGCUCCCCCCAGCAGCCAGAACACUAUGCUCCUUUCCAGAAUACUUCUCUUUAAUAAUGUGUUUAAUAAUGUGACUCUUCUCUGCAUGCAUUUUCCCUGCCAGAUUAUGAGCUCCUUGAGAACAGAAACUGCCUAACUUGUUCAUCACUCUACUUCUGCACCAAGGGCAGUGACAAGCUGAUGGUAGAUGUUGGCUGAGUGGGUGGCUGGCUAGAUGGAUGAUGCCAUCCUGUGGGGUGAAAGCAAAGAACAGCCCCCUGACUGAGAAUGGGACAGAAGAUGGGAGGGUUUGAUCAUAGGGAGAGGAAAAUCAUCCAGAACGGCCUAUAAGUGAAGGUCUGAUCAGGUCAGCCUGCUGGUCCAAGGUGGCAGCAAAUUGGGGAAGACAAGAUGGAGACAUUGGACAAAGAGGAAGAAACCAGAAUUGGGAUGAAAGGAGCCCUUUGCUGAGGCUAUUCAAGGCAAUGGGAUGACCACCAAAGAGAUGACUUUGGUUAUAUACUCCUCCCAAGGGCUAAGCACUGGAAGAUGACAAGAGGGAAGUGGAGACCCUAGAGAUCGCCCUGGAACCAAACCACCCUAAAUGGAGCCGGGAGGUCUGUCAAUUCCCAGAGAGCACGGAGGAAAUGGGAAAAUGGAAACGUAGCACAGCUGAACUUAAAACAGCAAGCCAAGAACAAAAACAACGUGCACAGCCAAAGGAGACCUUGGAAGAUGCGUAGAUAAAACAAAAAGCUGUGCUUGACUGGGACUCUCUUUUGGAAUCAGAGGCAAAAUGGAGAACAUUGUUCCAAUUAUAAAGAUUUUGCAAUCUAUAAUAUCUCUAAUAGAAAGGCAUCAUGUCAUCUACCUUGACAUUCAGAAGCUGUGCUAUUGCUAUGAGUUAUGAUACUUGUUCCUGAACCAGAGUGGUCAGAGGUGGGGUGGAAUUCCUAUGGUGGACCAGAAUUUAAACUCCACUUAAACAGUGCUUUCCCAUGGCAAUCACUCUCCCUUUUCCUUCCCCCACCUGCCCCAGCUCCCCACCCCCACCAAAACCAUAGAAUUUUUAUUUAAAUAUUCACUCAUUCUCUUCAUCCCCAUCUCUCUCCACAAAGAGUCAUUAUUUACUUAUUAUACUCAGCCCUUAAAUGUCAACUUUUUUAGGACAAGUGUAUAGCUGAUUCUCUCUGCAGCCUUGCUGACCCCAAGAAGUUGAAUCUUGAACCCCACAAAUCUCAAUACUUUUUAUCUCUUGGGUGCCCAUUUUGGUUGAGCAAAGGGUCCUCCCUCAAUCCUAAGACUCUUCCCCACUUCCUCCUUUUCUCCUAGUAACUCUUGCCACUGGCCAAAGAUUUAUUAGACCCUAGUUUUGUCCCUAUGCCUCUUGCCACUAGCUAUAAAUUGCGUUUUUGCAAAUUAGAAAAAGCUACCCUACCUCAAGACACUUUGCUGCCAUCUGCCAGAAAACUAUUGUAAUAAAUAUGCCAAGAGA